AUGAUCUCGCAGACUCCACUCCUCUGCCUGUUACUGAUCUGCAUCCUCGGUUCAAGUGGCGACAUUGUGAUGACCCAGACUCCACGAUCCUUGGCUCUGUCUCCUGGAGACACGGCCACCAUCAAGUGCAAAUCCAGCUCCAGUCUUACUUACUCAGGCAGAGAAGAAUUAGCCUGGUACCAACAGAAACCUGGACAAGCUCCAAAGCUCCUCAUCUAUAACGCUGUCACCCGGCAGUCGGGAGUCCCAGCCCGGUUCAGCAGCAGUGGCUCUGGCACUGAUUUCACUCUCACCAUCAGCAGUGUUGAAGCUGAAGAUGCUGGAGAAUAUUACUGUCAGCAGUACUAUGGCACUCCUCUCACAGUGAUACAAACCCAUACAAAAACCUACCUGUGCUGCCCAGCACCACAGCUGCUUCCUGAAGAGACACAUGAUCAACACAACUGCUACGCUCAAAACCAGCUCAGGGGUUUCCCCAGGACACAAACUUGCCACUGUCUGAGCCACAGAUACCAUCACGCUGCCCCUGCUGCCCAGCCUGGUGGACACAUCAGCCCAGGUGCACAGACCAGGCGAGUCUGCUCCUAA